GAACAACUACAACUAAAAUAUUGUUUUAUGAUCCUAUAAGGUCCAGAGUUCAGAGUCUCCUUCCUUGUUUCUGGAUUAACUCCAUACUCCACCUAGCUACAGAGCUCGGGAGCAAGAAACCUGAUUCACAUGACUGAAGCUUCUCUCUGACCCAGGGACAUUGCCGUGGGUGGUAUAUUCUCUUCCCUCUGUGCUUGUAUAGGGAACACAAAGGCAUUUCAGAAUCCUGCCAACACAGCUCAGAACAGAGCUGGGAAUUUCCUUUGGGCCACGAGUGACACGUGAAACAUACUCCUUCCUGAGAUGGUGGCUCAGCCAAUAGAUCACUGUAGAAAAUUAUUUAUGAAGCAUGAGAGCCAUGAAGGAAAUCUAUUGGAAAAGACAGAAUCUCAGCCCAAAGUAGAUGAUGUGGACAUCUUCACUGCAGCUCGGCUUCUCCAAUACCUAAUGUUAUUCUUUAUUAUUUAUAUGUGCAGAAGAGAAUAUCACAAAAGUGGGGAAAAGAAAGAAAACGAGACAAGGAAGGAAGAAAUUAAGCCAGAGCAAGAAGAACUUCAGAAAAAACUUG
ensembl:lncRNA